rnacentral:tRNA from 1 species
GGUCCCUUAGCUCAGUGGCAGAGCACCGGCCUUACAAGCCGGGGGUCGCUGGUUCAAUCCCAGCCGGGAUCA